UGGGAUUCAAGCCAUUUUCUUUACCUUUUUCUCUCCACGUCGGUUCUACUGCAGACCAGGUGUUAAACUGCCAGAUGUGUUGUACUACCUCGCAGUUUUUAACCAAUGAGCUCCUUCAUAUAACACAUUUAUUUUUCUUACAAUAGCCACAUUUACCUUUAGUUCCAGGAAGCUGCUGUUACACACCAUCAGUGAGCAUUAAAUUAUUACAGAGAUUUCCUUAUUUCAACCACCUUUCUUGAAAAUCAAACAAUAAACCAAGAGUAUGACAGGAUUUUAUGGUAAAAAGCUGCUUUUGGGGUCAUGAAUAAUCACCAUGAAGCUAGCAGUUUUUAAAUAACCAUAGUUUAAAGGGUAAGGCUGGCAUUGUUAUAUACUCAUAUUAAUGUAAACAAAUCCAAAGAAAAGGGACCAAAACUAGCAGUUAGUGACAUCAUACCAUGACACUCACAUCAGUGAUCCA